AGGAUAAUAGUUAAAAUUUAUAACAUUUAAUUUGCUUUUAAAAAUUAUUGAUUAAUUUAUCUUA
rnacentral:tRNA from 2 species